rnacentral:rRNA from 1 species
GGAGACUAUAUCGGAUGACUGGAGAUCGGUUGUCGCUGGCUUCUUCAUUGAGGCAUGUGCACGCCUUUCUCUAUUCACCCAACACACACCUGUGAACUCGUGAGACGGAUAGUAGUCUACUCUGGAUUUAUUCAUUUAAUUCCGGGGGGCGACGAGGUCCGUCUGUCAAUACAUAAACUCCAAUUAAAUAAAUCUGAAUGUAAUCUGAUGUAACGCAUCUAUAAACUAAGUUUCAACAACGGAUCUCUUGGCUCUCGCAUCGAUGAAGAACGCAGCGAAAUGCGAUAAGUAAUGUGAAUUGCAGAAUUCAGUGAAUCAUCGAAUCUUUGAACGCACCUUGCGCUCCUUGGUAUUCCUCGGAGCAUGCCUGUUUGAGUAUCAUGAAAUUAUCAAAAUAAAUCUUUUGUUCAUUCGAUCGAUUUUAUUUUGGACUUGGGGGUCUGCAGAUUCACGUCUGCUCCCCUUGAAUGCAUUAGCUGGAUCACUGUAGACUCGGUUCCACUCGGCGUGAUAAGUAUCACUCGCUGAGGACACUCUGUAAAAAGAGUGGCCGGGACUAUUAGAGAACCGCUUCCAAUAGUCCAUUUGCUUGGACAAUAAACAUUUAUGAUCUGAUCUCAAAUCAGGUAGGACUACCCGCUGAACUUAAGCAUAUCAUUAAGCGGAGGAAA